rnacentral:rRNA from 1 species
AUUGAACGCUGGCGGCAGGCUUAACACAUGCAAGUCGAGCGAGCGGCGGGGGGGUGAGUAAUGUCGGGGAAACUGCCUGAUGGGGGGGUAUCACUACGGGAAAGGGUAGCUAAUACCGCAUACUCUCAUAUGUGCCCAUAUGGGAUUAGCUAGUGGGUGGGGUAAUGGCUCACCUAGGCGACGCUCCCUCGCUGGUCUGAGAGGAUGACCAGCCACACUGGAACUGAGACACGGUCCAGACUCCUACGGGAGGCAGCAGUGGGGAAGAUUGCACAAUGGGCGCAAGCCUGAUGCAGCCAUGCCGCGUGUGUGAAGAAGGCCUUCGGGUUGUAAAGCACUUUCAGCGAGGAGGCGUUACUCACAGAAGAAGCACCGGCUAACUCCGUGCCAGCAGCCGCGGUAAUUC